UGAAUUGGGUUCAAGCACGUUGGGUCUCAAGCAAAGCAACUUUCAAGUUUCAACCACUAAAAAAAUACUUUAAUGUUAGAAUUUUAACAUUUGUGCUACUGGAUCUGAAACUCUGAUCUAUUAUGGCUACCAAUAAGCUAGUUAUUGGAAAGGAAGCCUUUUUUUUAAGUUGACUUGAAGAUUUUAGAAUGUGAAUUGAAAGCUAUUGAAGAGUUAAUCUCAAAAGUUAACAGCCAAGUAAACAGAUUACAGAUUGAAUUAAUGGAUAUGCAACAUCAAAACAGACAAACUCAUUCCAAUAAUCCGACUACACGUGAUCAUCCAUAUGUUAUUCAAGUAUCUUCUGAAAUUGUUAUUCCAGUUGAAUCAGAAAGUCAGCAAAUUAAUGCAACAAAUCUUAAUCUGAGCGUGAAACCUGCUUUAGAACUCAGCAGUAACUCUGACUACGAAGAAAGUUCAGAAAAUGAGGAUUCAACAUAGCAAAUGCAAGAAAAAUGUACUCCUGUUCUCUAAGCAACCAUUAUUAUUUAAGAAAACCAAGGAACUGUCGAUAAAUUUAAUUCCAGCAUUCACCAUUACUGCAUUUGUACUCUAAGUCUUUCAGAAGUGACCGAAAUUGCUUUUGUAGUUCCACGGACAAAGAACUCACAUUUUUUAAUAUAUCCAGCCACCUAUGUACAAAAGUAUAAAUAAAUUCUCAAUCUUGUGAGUGGAAUACAUUGUUUUGUACCUGUU